GCCUGACAGGACCCCAGGGUCCAGUCCUGUGCCUCCUUGGUAUCACCCUGCAUGGCCUAGGCCAGCUGCAGAGCGUGGAGACCAACAACGAAGAAAAUCCAGCCCUCAGUGAUAGCUGCCAGGAACCUGCCAAGGCACUGGUCUGCUGACUUGAGAGAAGCAUUCCCACCACUCCACUGCUGUCCAAGUCUCUAAUAAUUCACUCCACCAAAGGGUAUAAAGCAAACUCUGAGGCCCCAUGGCUUGCCUGCAUUGGAGAAGUGAAAGUUAGGGAGCUCUGGACUGGUCUGUGCUUACAAGAGUCAGCACUCAUGCAACAUCCCUCUGUGAGCAGCGACAGGUGUCACAUGGCAUAGAUGGCAUUUUCUUUGCAGGAACUUCUGAAGUACUAUCAAAGAUUUAUCUGCAAGUGUCAUGCAGCCAGGAUGGUGCCAGUCAUCAGCUGAGUUGUGUUCAAAAGUAGGUGACAGAAAUUCUUUGUCACAUAAGUGUAGAAAUAAAUCCUGAUGAAUACAUCUGUGUGGAUCAGAUGAUACGUGGGUUUAUUCCAAAGCUUUCAGUUAUGUGUCUCUACAGCUAGACAAAAUGUGUCAUCUAGGGUGUAGUGUACCAAUGGAACAUACAUUAUAAUUCUGUCCUUGCCAUGAAUCUGGGUUAAUUAAACUUCUACA